UACGAGGGGGGCAAGCGUUGUUCGGAAUUAUUGGGCGUAAAGGGUGCGUAGGCGGUUUGGUAAGUCUUAUGUGAAAUCUACAGGCUCAACUUGUAGUCUGCAUGAGAAACUGCCGGGCUUGAGUAUGGGAGAGGUGAGUGGAAUUCCUGGUGUAGCGGUGAAAUGCGUAGAUAUCAGGAGGAACACCUGUGGCGAAAGCGGCUCACUGGCCCGUAACUGACGCUGAUGCACGAAAGCUAGGGGAGCAAACAGG
rnacentral:rRNA from 1 species